rfam:Monodelphis domestica chromosome 7, whole genome shotgun sequence.
CCGGGACCCGUUUCAAGUAAUCCAGGAUAGGCUGUUUUCUCUUCAGCCUGUUCUCCAUUACUUGGUUCGGGGGCCGG